rnacentral:rRNA from 1 species
GGUUGCCAUCAUACCAGCACUAAUGCACCGGAUCCCAUCAGAACUCCGCAGUCAAGCGUGCUUGGGCGAGAGUAGUACUAGGAUGGGUGACCCCCUGGGAAGUCCUCGUGUUGCAACCC